CCCCUCUCGGGAUUGCACCUGGAGAGUUUCCAGUACUCUACCAGUCUCGGCUAUGGGAGGGAGUCAAGCAGAGGCCUACCCAUUCCAUUCUUAGCUUGGGCAGUGACUAACGAGUGGCAGGCAAUCUGCUACAGGU
rfam:Ornithorhynchus anatinus chromosome 4, whole genome shotgun sequence.